CUCGGAUGAUCAGUCUUGGUGAGCAGACAGUUAACUCAAAUGAUGGGGUAGCCUCAGUUCCUAAGACGCGGGCAAGGAAGUAACGGCAAUGGCACACAGCAAGUAAGGAGCAAAAGUCAGGACUCAAACAAUGUCUCUUAUCUCCAGUCCAGCUUUCUCAUGGACCCUGCUGCUGAAGCUGGACCCCUCCACUGUCUUUCCCUAUGAAGACAGGGACCAGCACUUACCACCACCACCUACGAGCCACCAGCUGCUCCUUCCUGAGAAGGUUGGAGCUAAAGGUAAGCCCAGGAGAAUCAGCCAUCUCACAUCACAAACAAGGAGAGUCGAGGUAAUUUUGAGGAGGAAAUGGGAGUCUGUCUUAACUUGAGCUCGUGUUUGCCAGCAGACCCUUAAUCGUACACUAUUUCUUUCAACAUAGAAGCAGAAGGAACCCCUGAAACCAAAAAAAAAAAAAAAAAAAAAAUCACAGCAAAAGGAGAAGAGAAGAAAGAAUGUCACCCUCCAAAUGCCCCUUGGAAACCAGACCAAGUCUGUAAAAUACUGUCGUUAUCAAUAUCAAAGGGAAAAUCUGUCUUCAACA
rnacentral:lncRNA from 1 species